rnacentral:lncRNA from 1 species
GAGCUGUUUUCACUGUGUGUGGAGGUAUGGUGAGUCGGGGGGAGGUGAGGGGAUUAGGAAGAACAGUAAGGCAAAAUUGAACCCUGGAAUAAAAAUGGAACCAAAAUCUCUCUAAACCAGAUCCAAGGAAAGGCUGGAAGCCUGCUUAGGAGAUAGCACUAAAGGCAGGCAUCCAGGGGUCAGAGGCAAGCUCCUGAAAGCUAGACUUGAAAAAUUAACUUUAAAACCUGAUGCACAUACUUCCAAAUGACUGUGAGCCUUUUGGGGGCACAGACCAGACUGUGUGUGUUUAUAUAUGGACGCGCCCGAAAGCAGAAGUACACAGGGGCUGCAGAGCUGCAGUGUAGCUUUCUCUCUGCUUAGGCACCGUGUUAUUUUCACACCUGUCAGUGCUGGUAACUGUUGCCUCCUGUUGUCUACCUCUCAGGACCCUAGGGUUGGCAGCAUAGUUACUGAGCUCC